rnacentral:rRNA from 1 species
UCCCCUAGUAACGGCGAGUGAAGAGGGAAGAGCCCAAGAUUGAAAGCUGGCGUCUUCGGCGUCCGCAUUGUAAUCUCAAGAAGUGUUUUCCGCUUCGGACCAUGCCUAAGUCCCUUGGAAGAGGGCAUCACAGAGGGUGAUAAUCCCGUACAUGGCAUGGAGCGCCCGAAGCUUUGUGAUACACUUUCUAAGAGUCGAGUUGUUUGGGAAUGCAGCUCAAAAUGGGUGGUAAAUGCCAUCUAAGGCUAAAUAUUGGGGAGAGACCGAUAGCGAACAAGUACAGUGAUGGAAAGAUGAAAAGAACUUUGAAAAGAGAGUUAAACAGUACGUGAAAUUGCCAAAAGGGAAGGGUAGGAGGUCAGAGAUGCGGCCUGGGAUUCAGCCUUGCUUUUGCUUGGUGUUUUUCCCAGAUUGCAGGCCAACGUCGGUUUUGGGCACUGGAGAAGGGUGGGAGGAAUGUGGCACCUCUCGGGGUGUGUUAUAGCCUCCUACUGGAUACAGCGACCGAGACCGAGGACAGCAGCGUACUCGCAAGAGCGGGCCUUCGGGCACCUUUACGCUUAGGGCGUUGGCAUAAUGGCCCUCUACCACCCGUCUUGAAACACGGACCAAGGAGUCUAACAUGUAUGCGAGUCUUUGGGUGGCAAACCCAUAGGCGCAAUGAAAGUGAAUUCAGGUGGGAUCCGCAAGGUGCACCAUCGACCGAUCCUCACGUCUUUCAAGUCGUGGAUUUGAGUAAGAGCAUACCUGUUGGGACCCGAAAGAUGGUGAACUAUGCCUGAAUAGGGUGAAGCCAGAGGAAACUCUGGUGGAGGCUCGUAGCGUUCUGACGUGCAAAUCGAUCGUCAAAUUUGGGUAUAGGGCGAAGACUAAUCGACCAUCU